rnacentral:lncRNA from 1 species
AGCAAGUUGGGCACUGAGGCACUGCAGCCAGGCUCUUCUGCCACGAAUGAGACCACCAAGUGAGUAACCUGUACUGGGCUGGGUAGACUGAGCCAGUAUCCAGCCACUCAGCACUGCAGCUUAAAAAUGCACUUGGCAAAAAAAGUCAGCAAGACAAAAGAAUUGGGAUGACAGAAGACAAGGGGACAAGGCUGCUUCUUACUGCAAGAGCAGGAUGAUUUUCAAAGAGUCAAGGGAAAGCAAACCAUCAAAAGGAGAAAAAGAAACAAGUACAUGAGCAAGUCUGCACAGAAGACUUAAAACUUGGAGAUGCCACUGUGCCCUGGAGAGCAAUAGUUUGAUCCUGGCUGGAGCUUGGUGUGCUGGACAGAGAAGAGUCAGAGGGAGGCACUUAGCACACAUUCUGCACACUGUUUGGCAAUCCAUGGCUACCUCAAAGUGGCUUCUAACUGUAGUUUUUGGAUUUAAUUCUCAGUGCCCAUAUGGCCCCAUGUUUGUAAGACAUAUGUUCAGACGAAAGUUACUGUGCUGAAGUGCAUCAGUAACUGAACUAGGAGUUACAGUAAUUCUUAACGUGGUUUCUGUGGAAUCCCUUGGCUUGCACCACCCGGAAGCUCAAAGCAGGUGACCACAGAGAUCUCCCCGGGCAUUUCAAUUCAUUUGCAUGAUUCUCCCCAGCCCACAACUCACAGCUUCAUCAACUCCCUGGCAUGCCUUAAAAGCCAUGCACACAAAGGCCUAAUUUCAAUCGAAAUAGUCUUUUCCUCCUACCUGUCCUAUCCUAUACCCUAAAGCUAACUGCUUGGUUAAAUGCUCUAAACAAAUCGCUGGGAACCCUAGAAAUAAAUACAGCAGUUAAGGAGUUUUAUUCUGUAGGCAACAUCUUCCUCACCAGCCCCAGGUUCCCGCAUUGGAUUGUGAACUCUGUGAGGAUGCUCUCUCCUUCCUGCAAGCUAACACAACUGUUAGAUUGGCUCCACUGUUAUCCAGCAGAAGAAGAAACGCACAUUCCCUCUUAUAACUCUUUGCUCAGCCAUCCUAACGUGGGAAGGACACGCAAUUGAGUUCUGCUGCACUGCCAUGAUCCAGCUCCUAUCUUGAAUUUUUCUCCCUCUUGUAUGUGCAUCUCUAUUUGUGAAAGCUCCAGCCAAAGCUUAAAAAUAGAAGGAAAGCCUGAAAGGAAUAUAAGAGGAAGCUGUUGUUAGCUUGUUGAUUCACGCAGCUCAGUGGUGGCUAGAUUGUACGGCACUGCUUGACUGAUCACGUAUGAAUAGAAAAUUGAAAUGAACAAAUGUUCCUUAUUAAUAUGAUGACACUUAGAAAGGAGAUCCUGAGAGUGGAAGGUGGAUCCCCCACAGAGUAAGGAUUUGAGAAAGUUGCCUGGCAAUUCCAGUAAUGUUUGCUACAGAAGAGUCAGUACCAAAGCAAAGGCUAGCAUAGUUUACUGCUUCCUACGGGAACCUUUAGGAGAGUGCUCAGGUUUGGAAAACUGGCGUAAGGGGCUGGGCUGGCUUGUGUAAUACCGAGCGUGCUCAAAGUCAUCGAGGAGAGGCUGUGAUCUUGAAGACUUAUCACCUUUGUGUCGCUGAGUUUCAGGUCCUUCUUUUGACCUUGAGCGCGGGGACUCACUUGCAUCUUGCUUCCAGUCUUGAUCAUUUCUCUUCCUUUCAAAGGAAGACUUCUCUUUCUCCUUCCCUUUCUUGAAAGCCUUUUUUUCCUCUGCCAUCAAGAGACGAGCAAUCUCCUCAUCUUGGGCCACUUGAGCUGCCAUCUGAUCUGCUUGGUUGGCCAGGAGCUCUUCCUCUUGCAGCUUCCGAGCAAUCUCUGCAUCAGACAAUUCCUGUUCCCUUCGGGGUUUAUCGUAAACGGUUUGCUUUGUCCCCCUCAACUUAGUUCCUCCAUUUUCUGAAUAAUAGCUAUCCUCAUAGACUUUGUGUCCCUGGGAUUCUGGAUAGUGCUUCUUGCGCUUUUUCUCUUCCUGCAGUUCUUUCUGUUGCAGAAGACGGGCAAUGUCCUCAUCUUUUUCCUCUUGCCGGCGUCGCUGCUCUGCUUCAAAAACCAGCUUCACUUGGAUUUCCUGAGCAAUCUCUGAGUCCUGCCGUUCCAGGUCUUUUUGGCGUUUCUGGAUUUGAGCACGUGCUUUCAGAUCCUCCUCCUCUUGCAGUUGCUUGGCCACCUGCAAGUCAUGCUGCACCAGACGAUUACGCUGAAUGUUUGUCGCCAAGUGAUGCUCAAUUUCUUGUUCCUGCAAGUUAUGGGCCAAGGUAUGGUCUUCCAGAACGGCAAAGUCUCGACACACUUCCUUGACGCCGGGCAGCUUGGACUGGUCGAUGCCGAUCUCGGCCAUGCUGCUGCAGCCGCCGGGCGGGGCGGGCAGGCCCCACGCUGAGGGCAGAGCCGCCCGUGCCCCGCCGCACCGCGCGAAGUUACCCGCGGAGGGAUCCGGAGCGAGCGGCCGUACGGCGCGGCGGAGGGGACAGAAAGCGGCGGGCGGGCGGGGUGGGGCGGGGCUGUGCGCCGGGCGGCCCCGGGUCGCUGCCUUUCGGGUUCGGCCGCGCCGAUUGGUCUUUGUUUGCCUCUUUUUCU